CGAACGUUCUGUGGCAAGUAUAAUAUAGCGACGUCAUUUGUAAAGAACUUCGGGUCAUAAUAGGGGUGUACUUGGAUAUGUCUAGUGACAUGACGGUCACCGCCUUGGUAGAGCAGGUUAGAGCCUAAAACCACUUCAAACUUCGAGGCACGAUUGACGCCAUCAAAAUAGCAGUGUGCAGCAGUUACCACUCGAUUAGAAGACAACAGUGAAGAACCGCAGACUGAAUAAUUUAGUGGUUUACCGAUUAACGAGAUGAUUAAGCCAGC